GUCAAGAUCCAUUUAUUUACAAAUUUCAUCUUGAAAGAAUGCCUUUUGGGACAAAUGUAGAAUUUUGGGUGGUAUAGGACUGGGGCUUUUUGGAUUUAUGGAACUUAAAAAUACAAACAAGUUUAGUUUGAAAUAAAAGUGUCCUUUUAAACUUUAUGGCCUUAAAUUUGAAAAUAUUGAUCCGAUGUGAACUUGAAAAGAGACACGAGAAAAAGUUAAGGUUAACUCGUCUAAGGAUAUUAAUGGUUUGAAACCGUUAGAAGAGUUGUACAGAUAAAAGAAGGAAAGAUUGAUAGAUAGUCUUGUACAAUCCAAUGGGAUCCUAGCACUUGAUCUAAGUUGAAACUGAACAAGGAGAUGAGACCUACUGGUAUUAUGAUGAAUUGACCUGGUUGAGUAACUAGUGAUGUUCUUCCUUGUGAACUUAAUGAUUAUUUUACAUAUAUCUUGUGAUUGGCCCUAUAGGCAUGUUUUAAACUUUUACGAAUAUUUGAACUUCUCUUAUAAAUAAGAAUGAAUAUUGGUCGUGAAAUGGGAGAGUAAAUAGUUAAGUUUAUGUGGCAUAAAAGCUAAUUCUCAGCUUAGGUGUGAAGAGUAGAGGCUUCGGACCAAAGUUUAAGUAUAUACAAACCUGCAUGUCUGCUUAUUGUCUUAAAAGCAUUUUAUUCUCAAAAGUGAUUUGUGGGGUUAAAUGAUUUUUCUUGAUCAAACGUUCAAAUAACAAAUGUUAAACUUCUUAUCAAAAGUCAAACGCAUUUAGAAAUUUUGACUAUCAAGAUCAGAACCAAUUUCUUUUCUUCUUGUCUUCCAUUCGAAUAGCCAUUUUAUUUAUACGUACAUAGACCACAAUUUUUCCAAAUGUGUAUUUGAUAUUCUGUUAUUAGUUUGGGUACGAAAGGUACGCGAAAAAAAAAAAAAAAAAAAACUUUCCUUA
rnacentral:lncRNA from 1 species